rnacentral:lncRNA from 1 species
AUUUGCUUCAAAAUUGUCAAGAAAAAGUUUAGAAAUUUCUUUUAAAAUGUUGUUUAGACCUGGUGUUAGGUUGUGAUGUUUCUAUGUUACCUGAAUGGUUAGUUAUGAUAAUUAGGAUUCAGUGUUGUUGCUUGAAUAGUUUCAAGAAAGUUUUAUGUCCAUUGUGUUCUUUGUUAAGGUGUUUUUGGAGAUCAGACUUGGUGAGAAACCAUGUUCUGAUCUCUUUAUUGUCUUUUGAUACCUGUCUUUAGUUGUGGUGACAGGUUAUUAAAUGUUAUGUGAUGACCUUUACACAUCAAGCACAAGCUCAAAGCUCACACCCUCUUGAAGACUGCUCAAACCGACUUUCUCAAAUUUACUUCAAUAUGGAGUCAACAAAAGCCACGGUCCUCUCAGUCAUUCUCAGGGUUCCUAUCUGAUCCCCUGGUCGUGUAUGGUGAAGUCAAAUCAGCAAGAAGAAACAAUGAGAAGCCAUUUCAUCUCAUGUUCUUAAAAGCACUCAAAUUCAGCCAUGCUUCAAGGAAAGUUCACAGGCGGAUGAUGUCCAAUAGAACCAAGAAGACCAGGAGGACAGGAGGGGAUCCAAGGGUGAGCUUUACAAACAGGGCCAAACACACAAGGAAAAGGAGUUGGGUAAUGAAUCCAAAACUCAAAUCCACCAAGCUCAGAUGAGUAGUGUGUAUAUGAAGGUUCAAGGAACCAGCCCAGGUUCCUAGGCUGUAAGUUAAACCUCCUAAACCUGAACAAUAGCUUGUGUAAUGUGUCUGGUCGUUUUUGAGUGAUGGUUUAGAGUCCAAUGGAUCAUGAUAAGUUGCUAGAAGUUGCAUUUUGUCUUAAUCUUAUCAUCUGUGGUUGUUUUUGUUCCUAGAAGUGUCUGCCUAGGUUGUCAUGCAUCCAUGAUAUAUUGAUAUCGAUUGGGAGUCCUUUAAUUGUCAUGUCUGCCUUGAGAUUGUUAAGUAUCUAGGAGUGUUCCUAGAUGUGUGGUGUAUUCAUGCUGUUGUUGAAAUUGAUUAGGUUAUUAGCCUAGUCUUCUUUAGCAUCUGGAUUGUCUUAAAAAUGCAUAUUGGAUUGUAUUAAAGAGGCAUACAUAUUGUUCCUGGUGCAUUCAUAUUGUUUCUAAAGCUGUCAUAGGAGGUGAUAAGCUCUUUUGCAAUCUGUUUUUUUUUUAAGCAGUGGCGACCAGUCUUCAUUUUAUUCAAUGAUCUGGUCCCAUGCUGAUGUUACUGAUCCCUAUCUGAGUUGUAAUGGUGUGUAGGACACAGGAUGUGACUAUUAGACCAGAAGCAGCAACAGGAAAAGGGAUAUACCCAUGUUGAUCAGAGCCUGCACAAGAUGCAUAUUCCUGAACAUGGAGAAAAGAGACCAUGUUGUUCAGAGCCUACACUUGGUGUAUAUUACUGACCAUGGAGAGACAUCUUAUGAGUGGAAUCAGUUGGCUUAAGCGCAGGCGUAGGAGCUGUUGUGCUCCUGGUUCAAGAGACUCACAAGGAAGGCCAUCACCUAAGUCAUGAGGAGACUGGUGGUCCAAAGACAUUGGAGCUGAAGGCAAAUGGUGAUCCAGUUGGCUUAAGCGCAGAUGUUGGUAUUGUUGUGCUCCUGGAAGAUGGUGAACUGGUUGGCUUAAGCGCAGAUGUUGGUAUUGUUGUGCUCCCAGUUCAAAACUCAUUGAAGCUCACGUUCAAGCUUGUCACUAUACUCAGUCAAGCUUGAGGAGGGGAAUAUCAGUGAGCUACCAAAAGAUCCAUGAAGCUUAUUAUAUCCAGUGUCCCAUUUCCUCAUAGAAGACCAGCAAGAGGUUGGCAAAUUAAAAGAGGACUUAAGUGAUCAGUCUGAAGAAGCUGUCACUCCUCACUGUUCUUACCAGCCAGAUGCAAGGAUUAUUCAAUCAGGGACAUUCUUGGCUAAGCAAUCACAUGAUGGUGGCAAAUUAUGUAGUUGCAAAGUCCCCCUACAUGUUGAAACUUCAAGAGAACAAUGCAAAGGCUGGUUGAGAGAAGGAAUGGCGUGGAGGAUUCAAAUGCUCUGCACUCCUCACCAACAUUCCAGAAACUAAUGCAAGGGGAGUACCUAAAACCAUCCUUAUUCUUAUGUGAGAAUAGGUUUUCCCCUUGAGAAUUGAUACAUGCAUUCUUUGUAUGAUUGAAUCAGGUACCUAUUGAGCUUAUGAACAAAGACAAGCUUUGUCUCAACCCCUAAAUAGAGGCAAGAAGCUAGAAGAAAGGGGGAGACAAGCUCAGGUCAUAAGAAGAAGCUCAAAGGUGAUUUGAUGGUGAAGGAAUUGGCGCCAAUCCAAGUUUGCAAGUAGUGGAUUCACUCUUGCAUUACUCAGUACCAACCGUGUGAUUGAGCUCACCAUUCUUAUAAAAGGGAAGCACCUUAAACUCAUCUCAAUACAUUCUUGAUUGUCCUUAUACUUAAACUAUUAUUGAGUUUGAUGUGAUGAGUGCAUUUCCUUAAGAACUGAUGCACUUUUGAAAUGAUGUAUCAGGUACCAAAAUAAGUUUGAGCCUCACUGAAGAUGAUGAUGAUGAUCCGGUCAUGUCCUAGCCUUCCUAAGGUAGUUGAAGCCAGUUGAGAGAGAGAGAGACCCUAAACCGGCCACAAAAUGAUCCAGCCUGCCACUUGUGCUCAAGGAUAGCAAGUUAUGGUGAUUCAUACUUGCUAUACCUAUUAGGCCACGAUCCAGAGCCUAAGGACUCCACCAUGAUGAAUCUGAAGUUCCUUAGGCUCACUGGCCAAUCCCUAAGCUUUGUAGAAACUCCACUCUUUUUCCCUUAGCAAGUUUUGUCCCAAUGGGUUUUCUUGCUAAGGUUUUUAAUGAGGGAGCUUCUUCAAGGUUCCAAGCUUUUCCAAGGAUCUCCUAUGGUCAAGCUUGAGGGGGAGUGUUGAAAUGAAGAAGGGAAUGACCAGAAGAAGAAGCUGGUUCAUGAUCCAAGUUUGAUAUUGUAGAGGAAGUAAUCUGGAUACUUCAAAGAUGAGACUGGUUCAUACAGACUUGUGAACCAAGUUAUGGUUAGAGUGGAGAAGGAAGAAGCAUGGCUGAGUGUGAUCCAUUGAUCUUAUAAAUAAAGAAGACAAAGAGAAGAAGAGAUACUUGAAAAGAUUCAGGUCUGGAAAACCUUGCUACACAAGGCAGUCCGUACAGUCUUGGCUUCCAAGUUACCUAGAGUGACUUGGAUGGUAAGGCAGGUGAGGAACUCGUACAGCUUGAUCUUCUGAAGCAGAUUUGAAGUUAAAAUGGAGCAUUAGACCGUUGGAGAGAGCUGAGACAAGUUGGGAAUUAAAUAGAGUAAAAGUCACAUGUGCAUAAGAGGAUGAACCUGCUGUCACUUUCACCCAACCAGACUGUGCCCAUCUUUCUCCCCUGUCACUCUCUACUCCCUCUGGUCGAGAUUCACCUUGGCUGUACCUUCCUGGCUUCACCAGAAAACCCUACAAUAUUAUUUGUUUAGUAAAACCCUGUUUUAGUAUUUGUUUAAUAUGUGUGCUUGUCUAUUUAAGACAAUGUUGUAUCUGAUUGUAAACUAAGGAGAGUAAAACUCUUUCUUCACAUACUCUGGUUACUAAACUCUCAGAUUCUCCUAUUCUCUCUAUUCUCUUGUCUCUCACGACCUCCAUUACUCUCUUAUACUCUAGCAUACUCAGAAACUCUCCCAAACACUUUAUACUCUCUUCACUCUCUCAUUACUUUCAAUUGCUCAUCAAUCACUCUCUCUGGUUUCAUACUGAACCAGAAGCUUAUUCUCAUCAUAUUCCUUUUAUUUCAUCUCAAUUCUUUCACUAAGGAGUUUCUCAAAUCUGUGUUUGACAUCAAGGAUUUGGGAGAGAUGAAGUAUUUUCUGGGCAUUGAGAUAUGCAGAUCAAAGGAGGGUUUGUUUAUGUCUCAAAGGAAGUAUACUAUGGAUAUGUUGAAGGAGACUGAUGUGCUUGGAGGAAAGAUAGCUAAGACACCCCUUGAGGAGGGAUAUAAAGUUCUGCGUGAGGGGGAGGUUGAAGAGAAGCAGCUGUUUGAAGAUCCUAAGCUAUACAGUCUUUCAAAUCCUGUCCCUUUCAAACCAGUAGGAACAUCCUAUUAUCCACUGGUCCAAAAAUCUUCAAGAUGAUGAAUAUUCAAGCAUGGGCGAGUUCAGUGAAGCUCAAAACUCCAAACUACUCUCUCUGGGUCAGCAUAUGCAGGCACCAAAGGUACAUCACUGGAAGAUGGUUGAUAGGAUACUGAGGUAUUUGAGUGGCACGCCUGGUCAAGGAGUUUGGAUGGGUUGUAAUGGCAGUACAGAAGUGGUUGGGUAUUGUGAUGCUGAUUGGGCAGGAGAUAGAGUGGACAGGAGAUCAACUACUGGGUAUUGUACAUUCAUUGGAGGGAACUUGGUUACUUGGAAGAGUAAGAAGCAGAAGGUUAUCUCUUGUUCAAGCUAAGGAUAGGUGGUGGAUAUUCAAUCCACAUCUGAAACAAAUGUACUUUCAAUAAGCCCCCAUGGGCUGGAGAGUCAAGAAACCAGCUCAGGUUUCUUGAGAGUAAGCGGAAUCUUCUACUCUGAUAAAAGCACUGUGUGUGCUGGUCGUUUGUGUUGUCUUAGGGUGUUUAGAAACUAGCUUGUUGUUCUUGUCUAGUUUCUACACAUGAAAAGACUGUCCAAUUGUCAUUUUGUCUAAGUAUUUGUCUGCCUUAGAAUUUUGUUAAGAGUCUUAGUGCUAUUUUUAAUCUCUGUCUCUGAAAAAAAAAAAAAAAUGCCAUUAUAUUAUUCUAAUCUUGUCUAGAAAAUUGUCUGGUUUAUUUGCUUCAAAAUUGUCAAGAAAAAGUUUAGAAAUUUCUUUUAAAAUGUUGUUUAGACCUGGUGUUAGGUUGUGAUGUUUCUAUGUUACCUGAAUGGUUAGUUAUGAUAAUUAGGAUUCAGUGUUGUUGCUUGAAUAGUUUCAAGAAAGUUUUAUGUCCAUUGUGUUCUUUGUUAAGGUGUUUUUGGAGAUCAGACUUGGUGAGAAACCAUGUUCUGAUCUCUUUAUUGUCUUUUGAUACCUGUCUUUAGUUGUGGUGACAGGUUAUUAAAUGUUAUGUGAUGACCUUUACACAUCAAGCACAAGCUCAAAGCUCACACCCUCUUGAAGACUGCUCAAACCGACUUUCUCAAAUUUACUUCAAUAUGGAGUCAAC